rnacentral:rRNA from 1 species
CAAUAGCGUAUAUUAAAGUUGUUGCGGUAAAAAAGCUCGUAGUUGGAUUUCUACCGAAGAUAGCCGGUCGGGUCUUCGACCUUGUAUCUGGUUUUGUCUUUGGUAUCCUCAUAGGGAACGUUUCUGCGCUUUAUUGCGUGGUGCGGUAUCUAUGACUUUUACUUUGAGGAAAUUAGAGUGUUCACGGCAGGCAAACGCCUUGAAUAUAUUAGCAUGGAAUAAUAACAUAGGAUCUUCGUCCUAUUUUGUUGGUUUCUAGGGCUAAGAUAAUGAUUAAUAGGGAUAAUUGGGGGCAUCUGUAUCAACGCGUCAGAGGUGGAAUUCUUGGAUUGCGUUGCGACAAACUACUGCGAAAGCAUUUGCCAAGGAUGUUUUCAUUGAC